rnacentral:rRNA from 1 species
CACGUAGGGGGCAAGCGUUGUCCGGAUUUAUUGGGCGUAAAGAGCUCGUAGGCGGCUUAGUAAGUCGGGUGUGAAACCUCCAGGCUCAACCUGGAGACGCCACCCGAUACUGCUGUGGCUAGAGUCCGGUAGGGGAGCGUGGAAUUCCUGGUGUAGCGGUGAAAUGCGCAGAUAUCAGGAGGAACACCAGCGGCGAAGGCGGCGCUCUGGGCCGGUACUGACGCUGAGGAGCGAAAGCGUGGGGAGCAAACUGG